rnacentral:rRNA from 1 species
GAUGAACGCUGGCGGCGUGCCUAAUACAUGCAAGUCGAGCGAACAGACGAGGAGCUUGCUCCGCUGACGUUAGCGGCGGACGGGUGAGUAACACGUGGAUAACCUACCUAUAAGACUGGGAUAACUUCGGGAAACCGGAGCUAAUACCGGAUAAUAUAUUGAACCGCAUGGUUCAAUAGUGAAAGACGGGUUUGCUGUCACUUAUAGAUGGAUCCGCGCCGCAUGAGCUAGUUGGUAAGGUAACGGCUUAUCAAGGCAACGAUGCGUAGCCGACCUGAGAGGCGGAUAGGCCACACGGGAACGUGGACACGGUCACGGGUACUGCGGGACGCAGCAGUCGGGAAUCUUCCGCAGUAGGCGGAAACCUUACAGAGCGACGGCGCGCGUGUUAUAGAGGUCUUCGGAUCGUAAAGCUCUGUUAUGAGUGAUAAACAUAUGUGUAAGUAACUAUGCACGUCUUGACGGUACCUACUCAGAAAGCGACGGCUAACUACGUG